CCUCGCAUCUCAAGCUCGCCUGCUCAUCCUUCCCGCUGCACACAAAGAGCAUAAUAAAAUAGCAGGUUCGAGUAGUAUGUGAGUACUAGUAAUUGGAUUUGGAACAAGUUUAGAUAGUAUACUUCAUGGGUUUGGAUACUUCAAAAUUCGUGGGUAACCUAUCAUUGCCAUCCCUAAGUGGAUCUAUAGCCCCAAGUCCAUUGUAGCAGAAAGCUUCUCCCUUGUACACUCCGAGCAGCCCAAACAAGAGGGAGGAAGGGAGAGCAGCCAUCGGGGCUAUCCCAAAUAUCCCCAAUUCCGGAGGCAUCGUCUGAGAUCCACUCAUGUUAAUCACUAUUUGAACUUAUCAUCUUUGGCAGCAAGUAGCAACAGUGAAGCUCAGAAUUUCUGCUUAUAAAAUGUGCUCAAUACAAAGCUCGUUUCUUCCAUUAAUAGACUUGUUCUCUUUGAGCACCAAUUCUCUUCCAAAGCUCAAAAAUGAUCCUGCUUUUCUUCGACUACCAUUACCUAAAGCCUAUAAUCAUCACUCAAGCUUAAGGGCUGUGUUGUCCAUAGAAGAAGUUCCCCCAAAUGCCCUUCGUCGGAAGAGUGAUCCACAAUGGAGAGGAGGGUUCAGUUUAGGGGUAGACUUGGGUUUGUCUCGAACUGGCCUUGCCAUCAGCAAGGGUUUCUCUGUUCGUCCUCUCAUGGUUUUGGAGUUGCGUGGACAAAAGCUUGAGCUUCGGCUUCUUGAAAUUGCUGAAAAUGAGGUUAAAAUUUCUCUCUCAAUGCACCUAAAAAACAAAGAAGUCAUUGAUUUUUUCCCCCAUUAAUUUUGGUAAUUGAGAAACUGUAGGAGGUAGAUGAGUUUAUAAUUGGGAUUCCUAAAUCUUGGGAUGGAAAGGAGACUCCUCAAUCCAACAAAGUUCGUAGUGUUGCUGGAAGGCUUGCUGUUCGAGCAGCUGAAAGGGGUUGGAGAGUAUAUCUACAGGAUGAACAUGGGACAUCAACAGAAGCUACUUACCGAAUGAUUAAUAUGUAAGCAUUACAUUUCAUAAUUAACUUUUCAUAUUGAAUAGUUAUUGGUCACAGGUUAAUCUGUGCAUUGCUUUUGUCCAUCUCUGAAAAUUUUGAAUUCUGAGGAUUCCCUUGGGGUUGCAAGGGUAAUGAGUUAUUUCCCCUAAAACAUUUCAGGGCAUCUGAACAUGCAUGUUACUUCUGCUAUUUGGGCAUCACCAUUAUCACCAAGAUGCAUUUUAAUGAGCAGUUUGGACUUUUUUUAUCAUUUAUAAAAUUUAUAGGGGUUUCUUUUGAAAUUGAACCCAAUGGGCAUUGAAAUACACAAUUUGUUCAAGAACUUAAUUUCACAUCAUCAUUUGAAAAUGUAAAAUUAGAAAUAAUGCACAAGAUUUUGUAAUAGCUAGUGGGAUGUUAUGCAGUUGCUUUGAGGCAAACAAGGCUGAUAUAGAUAGAAUCUGUACAAGUGAGGGAAUAAUUAUGUCUAAAACUCUUUCAGGGGCCUCAGCAAGGGUGCUCGGCAAAAGAGCAUUGAUGUCUAUGCAGCUGUGGUAUGCAAUGAAAUUGUAUUUCCUCUUAUGAGAAGGAUAUUGCCAUAUGCACUAUAUUAUCUUUUUUUAGCAUUUUCUGGUUGCAGAUGGUAUUAGAGAGAUAUUUUCAGACAUCAGGGGAGGGAACUGAACUUGUACUACCGAAGCAAUUCAAUCUACAAGAUAAACUUCUUAAAGGUCCUCCCAAGGACAUCGAUUUUUAUCCAGAAUAAUUCCGUGGUUGAUAUUCUAAUUUUCUUUCCAAACGAAGAUUCAGAAUUUCAAGCAAUUCUUUGAUAAUAUGUCAACAUGGUUGGUAGGCCAUAAUAGAAUGAAUUUUGAAUUCAUUUUUCUAUUCAAUUUUUGUGGGAUCACAAUGUAUGCACUAAUGUAUAUAGAGGAAAAUAAUUUUGUACAACGUAAACAUAAUUGUACAUACAAGAGUUUACGAUAUUGAUUAGAGAUUUUGAUUUCAUGU
rnacentral:misc_RNA from 1 species